CCCUUCCCUGCACACACACACACAGUGAACAUAUGAAAAGAAUUUUUACUAGUAUCUGGUAUUUAUUUUAAUAAAUGUGUUGUACAUAUUUGAGUGUCAUUUUUAAGACUAUGGCAUCUCCUUUAUGCAGUUCCGCUCUUGCAGCAGUCUAACUCCCACAUAGAGUGCAUUGCAGUAGUCCAAGCCGGAUAUAACUAGAGCAUGCACCACUCUGGCGAGACAGUCCGCAGGCAGGUAGGGUCUCAGCUUGUGUACCAGAUGGAGCUGGUAGACAGCUGCCCUGGACACAGAAUUGACCUGCACCUUCAUAGACAGCUGUGAGUCCAAAAUGACUCCCAGGCUGCACACCUUGGUCUUCAGAGGCAUGUUUACCUCGUUCAAGACCAGGGAGUUCCCCACACCCGCCAGCCUCCUGUCCCCACAAAACAGUACUUCUAUCUUGUCAGGAUUUAACCUCAAUCUGUUAGCUGCUAUCCAUCUUCCAACUGCCUAAAGACACUCACUCAGGACCUUCAUUGCCUUCACUGGUUCCUAUUUAAAAGAGAGGAAGUCAACUCAAACUGAAAUCAGUAUGUCAAAGGGACUUAACACUUCGUUUCAGUGGGACUUAGGUGUGUCUAACAUUCUUCUGGAUUAUUUCCAUUAUCUGUCCUUGUUGAUAUCACUUACUUGUAGAGCAUCAACUAGAAGAGACAGACUGUUUCGCAAAAGCCUUCUCAGCUAAGAUUUCCUGGAAAUAUCUUUACUUGUCUGUGUUACAAGAACACAAGGAGGAUGGAGAAUGAUACAGACCAGGCAUGAUGCUUUAAAAUAAUAACGAUACUUUGACAAAGCUGAUAUAACAUGCUUUCAACUCUUUGGUGUUCUACUUCUAAGCACCUAAUAAAACUACACAAAAUUGCAUUCAUCACCUGAAGUUCUCUCAUAAGCCUGUUUGGAGCAAAUACUGAAAGAAUCAUAGAAUUGGAGGGCACCCAACAGUCAUCUAGUCCAACCCCCUGUAAUGCAGACAUCUUAGCUAAAGCAUCCAUGACAGGUGGCCAUCCAACCAUUGCUUUAAAAACUCCCAAGGAAGGAGAGUCUACCACCUCUCAUGGGAAUCUGUUCCACUGCUGAACUGCUCUUAAAAGUUUUUCCGAAUGAUGAGUUGAAUCUCCAAAGUUAGCAGCCAACUGCUUUUUGCUGCCAUUUAGAACUUCAUAGUUCACUUCAUUUGCCUGUCACUCUAGAACUCAAUCCCAAGAAACAGUGCUUUUGUGAAAAGUUAUUAAGCUAUAUACUUUGUCUAAUUCCAUAUAUUAAUCCUUUAAAAAUGUAUUGCAAACAUCUGUGCCUUACUGUUUUCCCCUCCAUAAUAAAAGUCUGCCUGAUAAAGCUGAACUAGGACAUUAAGGGCUCUCCGUCUUUAAGGCUGCAAUAAUAGUCACACUUUCUUGAGAGCAGGCCUUAUUGAACACAAUACACCUCAUUUCAAAGCUGACAUGUACAGGAUUGUGCUGAAAGGCCCUCUUUGGUAAGCCAUCAGCAUUUCCCAUUGCCAGUGUAUCUCCAUCUUUGUAAAAAAUACAUGUCUGUUUGCUUUUGUGUACAUGCACACACAUAUAUAUGUUUUGAAUGAAGGGAAAGUAGGUGUCAAAUAAUAUAAAUAAAUAAAACAAGGUUUCUACAGAAACAAAUUUUAGUCCUAUACAAUGAAAUCAACAAGGACAUUACAGUAAAAAUGCUCACUUAACUCCUAAUAAUACUGAAGCAUUUCUCUUUUGAACAGUAUCAGCCAUCAAUUUCUCUAGUUUCUAGGGUUUUGAUUACAUUUUGGAGCUUUCCAGGAUAGAACCCCCCCCCCCCCUUUGGCUACUACAGACAGAUUCAGAGCCAAAAGUCUUACAGAAACUUGUAGAGAAUUAUCCAAGCUAUUAAGCAAAACAAUUUUAUGAUCAAAAAUAAGUGUGGCCCCCUGGUCCUUGAUCAUUUACCUCCAGAACUUGUUUCCAGUAUCUUUGUAUCGUAUUAAAACUCCACUAAAGACAUAAAAACCUGCACUAAUUGCAGUGCUUUCCCAACUCAUAAACCAAUUUGCCUCUGAUAUUUCAUUUGAUCUACCGAAGUUCAUAUCUCAGAAAACAAUCUUAUGGAACAGAAGAAACUGAAGAGUUUUUAAUGUUGCUACAUAGACCAUUUCCUCCCAGACACUUGAACAUUCAGAUUUCAGAAGCAGCCAACAUGGCAUGGCACAGCUGCAGAGCUGGUAUUCUUGCAGUGGAUGCUUACCAGGAAAGUGUGGGGCUGAGGAAGGGCAAUGGCAAGGUUUGGGUAGCACAAGUGCACCUGAUUGGUUUCACGGCACUGUUCUGGUAAAUGGUAGUGGUAAAGCUGCCCAGAGGCACCUACCUAAGGUAGACCUUUAAAAUAAGAAAGAGAAAUUAAGGAUGGCUGAAUGAGGUGAAAUUUGGUCCAUUUGAUGACCAGAAAAUAAUCUGAGCUUUCCUGUGUUUUAGAAAGCCAAAUAGAGGAAUAGUUAUGGAUCCCAAAGGAACUAGGCCUGACAAUGUGAGUAGUUAAGUGAGCUAAACUAAGUUUUAAAAAGGAUCAAGCAUAGCAGAAGUAUAGAAGAAAUCAAGAUGUUUGGUGAGAUCCUUGAAGAGAGUCAGAGUGCAAUAAAUAAGCAAAGAUUGACUUUCUGAAAUCCAGAAAAUUAAUGUCACUGUCAGCAGCACUAACACUUAAGGCAGAGAAGAUAAAGGUAGAGUAGCUGAAACAACAGCCUGCUCAGCCGGAAAUAUAGAUAUGUGGAGAAUCCAUUUCUGGGAAUAAAGAUACAAAGUUGGGAAUUAUAUCUGUCACUGAAACCUCACUUGAGUAAUGGAAAAGGCAUGUCCUUUAUGGAAGUUUGACCUUUUUCUCAGUUUAGGGGACUUGUCCAGGAUUUGCAAAUUGCAAUACAAUGCUGUCUUCCUGGCAGACAAGCUGGAAAUUCUGAAAUCACUUUUGAACUGAAAAGCUUUUUGUGCAACAGUAUUUUGGUUAACUCUUAGAAUUAGAACAGGGAUGUUUCCUCUUAAUUUUGCAGUGAUGGGAGUGACUGGAGUAGGGAAAAUGAGUGGCACAUUGGGAAGUGAUCCUAACCAUACCUUAAAGUAAGAAAGUGUAGAGCUCAAGUUGUAUGUACAAGUCACAUACUGUUUAGAACCGUUCCAAUACUAUGCUUCUAUUGAUUUUCAGUGUUUGACUGGAAAAUACCAGGGUUUGACUCUGAAACUGGGGUUCUUAAUUCUACAUCUACACUUGCCUAAUGAACAUGUUAGUGGCCUGUUUAAUCUCCGCCCCCCCUGUAAAUAGGGAUGACAGAGAAUUCUUAUGAAAAUGGCCUCUGGAACUGAGGUAUUAAAGAUUGGUGGGUGGGUUUCAAGGUGCCAAUAUCGUCAGCUUUGGGGCCACUUUUGGAUAUGAAGUUAUUGGAUAUUGUUAUCUGAGCUUUAUUUUUAUAUAUUUCCAGUGAACUUUUAAUUGUUGAUUUUUUUAGUGUUGCAUUGCAGUGAUACUGUAAAUUUUAUUAGGUAUCAUGGUUACUCACUGUACUACUGUAUUUAGGCUGCACCUUGAGCACAGAUGUGUUUGUGGGAAAUGUGGUAUUUAAAAAAUAGAAUAAAACUAACUAUGAAAGUGAAAAAAUAAGGCAUUUCAAGAUAUUGCAAAUAUGAAAUACAUUGUAAUAAAUGUAAACAUACAUUUUGUAUAUUAUGCAAAAAAGCAUUUGAAAUGAACUCACGAGCCUUGUUUCAAACACUGUUAGUAGCUGUAUUCUAACUACAACAGCAGCGUUUACCAAACUAUAUCACUUUUAAUGUUAUUACUAGGGAUGUGCAGUAGAUUCAGGUGGAUCUCAAAUUUGAUGAAAGUGAGGGAUUCUCGGCUUGUCCAAGGCAAAGUGGGAUGUGUCUGAGGUGCCCUGAACUGAAAUGGGGACCUCUGAAGCGCUUUGGGGCUACAAUGUGGGUGAACUACAGGCACUCAGUUAAAAUUUAUUUUUAAAUGGCCUGCUCAUGAACAUUCCCCAUGUGACUGAGAGCCCAACAGGGUAAGAGUGCUAAACCAUGCAUGGAGGCCACACAAGUACAGCAGGCUCCCCACUGCAUACUUCCCCCCUCCAAAGCAUAGAGAGCAGCUCUAGUCAUGGUUGAUUAUAAGGGCUCCUGUCAUUUCAUAACUUUUGACAUGUUCCCUGCAUAUUUUAGGAUUUUCUUCCACAACAGUGAGCACUAGGAACUUCCUUUUGUUAAAAUGAACACUUUGGAAAUCUAACAUAGGCUCAGGGGGCACGAAAUCCACAUUUUGUCUAAAUUAGCUCAAACCUGCUUAGCUGAGACAUUUCUCUUUGCCUAAUACAAUUUUAAUCUGUGCAAGUAGUAUGAUCAUAUUCAGUAUUCAUUAUCUUUUCCAGGUGGAUAUUUCUGGCACAUAAAACAGAAAAAAAAAAUAGCAGCAAUAAAAGAAGAAUUUUGCCUACGGUGUAGUGAAAGCUGCAAAAUGUGCCGAGGCAUAUACAGGCAUAUACAAACAGCAAUAGGAAUGAUUAUAAAAAUGAUGUAUGGGGAAAUAAUAAAAACUAUAAUCCCUAGAGGGGAUUUUGGAUGUUUCAGAGGGGAAAAUACUAGAGGAAAUUUUAAAGCUUAACCAUCUUUUAUCAAAACAAUUUGAGCAGAGAUAUAUUAUAUUCUGUUUGUUUCAAGUCAAUCAGCCACAGUUAUAUAGAAAAGCAUAAUGAACUCUUUGUUAUACAACAAAUAUAUAUUUACUUAUUAAAAAGUAAUAGAAUGUGUAUGAUUUCAUUCAUUAAUUUAAUGUGCAUUAAUAUAUAAUAAUGGCAGUAAUGGAUUGAGCAGUCAUUAUUGCUUUUAUUAUAAAUCAGUACUCAUUAAAUGAAUUAAUUAGCACCAUAGAUUAGAGGCAGGCAAUACUUCACCUGUAAUGUUGACGGGAUCCACUAUGAAUGCUUGGACAUUGAAGGUAAGAGGGAAAAGGCAGGCCUUAGCAGACUGGAUGCAGCCCACCCCAUGCAUUUUAUAAGCAACCUUCUCGACAUUAGAGCAGCCUCCCCCAACCUGGUGUUCACCAGAUGUUGUUGGACUACAAGACCCAUCAACCCCAGUCAGCAUGGCCAAUUGUCAGGGAUGAUGGGAGUUGUAGUCUAACAAACAACGGAAGUGCAUCAGGUUGGGAAAGGCUGCAUAAGAGCUUCAGGUAUGUAAUGCCCACUGCUAAUUCAGAAAUGAAGGGCUCUCAAAUGAGACAAAGUUACCAAACAGAAAGGAGCCUCCAUUUACCUGCUGCUUUUCUUUUUUGUCAGCACAAUAAUCUGUGAGCGGCAAUGUACUGAAGAGGCCAAAGAUGUUAGACUUUGAACUUUUUAGUACAUCCCCAGCUACUGAUCAUUUCCUUAGCAGACAGUUGCUUUCAUUUUAUUGCUGUUUCCAGCAUCUUUCAGAGCAUAUCUGCAACAUAGAUUUAAAUCAGUUUAAUAGUAAUUUCCCUUCCCCAGGGAAUUCUGGGAACUGUAGCUCUUUGAGUAAUCUUGAAGUGAACUUUCAAAAUCUUCACCCAGCUACAGUUCUCAGGAUUCUCUGGUGAAAGACAUGAUUGCCAAAUUUUGUUCUCUUGUCUCUUCAUGAGUGGCGAAGGGUCUUCACUUCAGAAAGGCACUUUACAAUUUGUGGAGGGUUGCAAAGGUGAUGUAUGUGAUGGGCUGGAAUUGGUGGUGCUUGCUAACCUGCCCCUACUUUCUCUCUCUCAUGUGAAAGUUAUCACAAGGGGAGGGGGGAUGAAGGACCAAAUAGGGCUAGUAUAACUUACAAUGCAGAGAGUCAUCUGGUUUUUGUCAUUUAGGGAGGGGGCGGGAUAGCGAACCUGAUGUGAACAUACAUUUCUGGGUCUAAAAGGCUCUCAGGCUGUCCAUUUUUAUUAAACAUAUAUAUGCUAAAUUGGGGUGUGCUCAGGGUUUUGUUUGGGGUGGUUGAAAGUGGAAUGCAAUUAUGAAAGAAUGUUAACCCUAGAUUAACCUUUGACCUCUGAAUCAAUUUAGCUGGUUUGCCCUAUUCACCCUAGAUAGAAAUACUUCACUGAGGCAGGCAUAUGAAAUACCAAAUGACUUUGGGAAAGGCACAGCAGAACUUUUUGAAAUGCUAUCCAAAUCUUAAAAAGGGAAACUAAAAACCAGUGUGCUUUUAAGCAAUUAAAUUAACAUUAAAUUGCAAUCUAAAUAUAAGUUUCUGUGGGGUUUUUUUUAAUUGGGAUCAGUUAAGAAAGAUGCAUGUGUUUGUGUCUGCCCAUGUGUAUGUGUGGUAGGUGAACAGUAUGCCAAAACAAAUAGCACUGGAGCUUUUAAGGAGCAGAUGCACCACAGCCUCUUUAAGGGAAGUGGGCACCAUAUUAUCAUGCAACAAUGCAUUCAUUACACUCAGAACCCACAUGGCCACCCCACUCAAACUAUCUUAAACCAACAAGUCCAGGGGGCAUGUGAUCAAAUGACUGCAAUUAUUUUGCCCACAUCACCAGACUACAUCAAGUGGAAAUAAUCUCAUAACACUGGGCCCACAGAGCUAGGUGAUUUUAUCUCCAACUGCUUGCAGCUAGCCAGUGAUCCACAAGCCAGAGAGGCCAGAACCAAAGUGGGUAGGCCAGAGUGUGUGAAGCACCCCAUUCUCCCACUUUUUCUGCCACCCUUCCCCCUAUUUUCCUCUCCUUGCCACCUACAUGAAACUAGGCUAAGCACCCCCACAAAAUCAAAUCAGAGGGUCACACCCUUGUGUUGCAAGUUGCACGCCCUUGCUCUUAAGACAGAGUAGUUGCUUCUCAAACAGGUGGAGCUAUGAGCAAGCCUCAGUGGUACUGCAGGGACAUUUACAGCUAAUGUAUUUGGACCUGUCCAUCCAAAUUAUUUUUAUGAAUAUCUUUGCUCAUUGAAGUGACAUAACAUUUUCAAGAACUUCACCAACUAAUGCAGUCAUAAACUUUUGCGUGGAUGGGUUUUCAGAAUUGUUAGCUCAACUGUUGUUUCGCCUUCUGUCUAGCCACCAUCCAUCCUCCAACCGCCUCCAGGCACUCACACAGGACCUUCACUGCCUUCAUUGGUUCCGAUUUAAAAGAAAGGUAGAGCUGGGUAUCAUCCGCAUAUUGAUGGACACCCAGCCUAAACCCCCUGAUGAUCUCCCCAGCAGCUUCAUGUAUAUGUUAAAAAGCAUGGGGGAGAGGAUGGAACCCUGAGGCACUCCACAAGUGAGGGCCCAAUGGUCUGAACACUCAUCCCCCACCACCACUUCCAGGACAUGGCCCAGGAGGAAGGAGCAGAACCACUGUAUAACAGUGCCCCCAGCUCCUCUAGAUGGUCCAGAAGGAUGUUAUGAUCAAUUGUAUCAAAAGCCUCAGAGAUCCAGCAGAAUUAGGAAACAGUAUUAUGUAUUUAAAAUAUUUAUAUGUCAACAUUUGGAAUCUACAGUCAAAGUUCAUUUUUUCUUUUUUCUUUUUUUGAGAAGAGACAUGUUGGCAAUUCCCUUAGGGGAGUGUAGCUAGAGGAGGGGUAGGCAAUGGAAUGCCAGCCAGAUGAUGUUGGAAUCGGCCACCAUCAGCCUUAGCCAAUGAUCAGGAAUGAUGGAAGUUGUAGUCCAACAAUAUCUGGAGGCAACACAUUGCAACUAUCUUUGAAUUGGUUAUUACUAGUAUGUUAGCUAAAAGACCAAAGUGCCAGUUAGAGACGAGAUGAGUUUUCAAAAGUUUGGUAUAAUUUACUGAUUUAUAUAUAAAACUUCAUCCGUAAACCAAACUUAAACUUUCCUGUGCUGUUCAGUGCCUUACCCAUACCCCACAGUACUUAUUUAAAAAAUAAAAUAAAAUCUCUCCAUCUUAUAUUACUUCCUCAAACAAGGUCACACAAGACAAGUGAACACAUCAGAUAAUGUGCUAUAAAUAGGACAACAGUAUGCUAUGUCACAAACUGUUGAUGACAUUGUUGUCCUUCAGUAAAUAACAACACAGCCAGUUGGAUUUAUCUACUGAAGGUAGAUGCAUUGACUUUGCUAAGUGCAAGAACAUCACCACACUUUUCAAAGCAUGAAUGAAAAUGAGUGAAAAGUUCAAGAGAGUUGAAAAAAUGGUUUUUAAAGCCUCCUUUUAAAUAUAUGCAAAAAUAAAAUCACAAAUGUGUGAGUAAUUUCAUCUUAGCCCUUUUCCAGACGACUCAGCAAUAGUAAUCACAUUUUAAUUUCAAAGCUAACAUUGGGCUUGGAAUGUAUACUCUCUUGCAUAUUUUGUGGUUAAGCUGUUAUAACUCAGAUUUCCCCUUACAUUUGGUCAGACUAAGUCACAUUUAUUGCUCUUUGGGCUAAUGCACUUCUGAUGGGAGGUGCAUAGCUUCAACAGAGCCGGGAAAGAUGGAACAGUUCACACCACCCAAGUUUCUGUGAAAAAGACUAGCCACAGACUUCCCUACUUUGAAAAGUGAAAAAGAUAAAUUGUGGAGAGCUAACAAAAGAUAGUGACAGCAAGUCAUUUCAAUUGGUUUGAAGUGCAGCUGCUGGCAUUUUGACUGGAGAUAGUCAAUCAGGUCAUAUUACAUUGAUCUUGUACCAUCCACACUGGUUGCAAGAAAGUAUGAGCAUGAAUGGAAGUGCACGCAUGGGUGAAUGUGAAAAAGUGUGGGUUGGCCCUGGCCACCACUGGCAUGUGACCCCUAGGUAGUUUGCUCAAGUGGCCCUUGAGCAGAAAAGGGUGUGUGUUCUUGUAUCCUAACAUGGAACCUUUGUUUGGCAGAAAAGACUAUGACCUAAGAAAAUCUUUAAGAAAAACAAAUUUUAAAUGUUUCAAUGUUUUUAUGUUUGCAUUUCUAACAUCUGUACACCUAUGACUUUACCAAAAUGUCUUAGUAAAGCUUAUUCAUUUUUAUUAUUUAUUACAAUUUUAUCCUACUUCCCCCAAAGUGUUCAAGAGAGUAUUCAUGCCCCCUCCUUACCCUCACAGCAAUCCUAUGAAGAUAGAUGGCUGAGAGACACUGACUGGCCAAACAUUACCCAGCUGCCUUAUGGGCGAGUAUUAACUUGAACUCAGAUCUCCCUGAUGUCAGUUCCAUCAAGGCUUCAAACAUUGUACACUAUAGGAUCAGAAUAAUAAAAGCACAGAGCAAAUAACUUUGAGGCUUUGAAACAAUAUCACACAAGUCUGGUUUUUCCCAUUUCUGUGUGUCCAGAACCCCAGCAUACCUGGCGUCCAGUCCUGCUGGCAAAUGUUAAUGAGUACUCCAGAAGUCCAACAGAUCAGGGAACAUGGUCCAGGUUCAAUACAGUAGGCCGAGUCUAACAGUCAGGCCUGAUUCCCACCUCUGAAGCCAGUCCAGUGUUCAAUCCCCAAAAGGACAUUUCCAUGGAGCUCCUAGGACACCAAGCUGUGGUCCAUUAACAUGGGAAGUUGAACAGACACAGCACCUCAGCUCGGCUGCCCUUUCAUAGUUUGCCUGCUGAUUGCAGCAUUUGGGCUUGAUGAGGCAGAUGACCCUCACCUGUUCCAAACCUUCUCCAGCUGAGGAAUCACACAGCUCCUCCCAGAGCUAGCAACCCCACCUGGCCAGCUAGGGAGCUGGGAUGUGUGCCCUUGCCUGCCACAGCCUCCUAGAGCACCCCUCCCGCUGCUCCCUACGCCUCAGAGCCCGCCAUGUUCAUGGAGAUGGGGGCUGCUCUGGUGAUGCGUCCUGCUCCUCUGGUUCCUGUGCACUGACCUAGGGUUGUCAUAUUUCAAAAAGUGAAAAUCCAGACGCAUAAGUUGUUGAGCUUUUUAGAAAAUUUGUCAAAAAUCAACACUUCUGAUAUGGGCUGCCAUAUACCCCAGAUUUUCCCAGACAUUUUAACUAAUUUCUGAAAAUUCUACCCAGGUGCUAUUUUCAAACGUAUGGCAGCCCUAACUGACCUCCAUCUGUUUGCCAUCCUCUGUCACCCCAUGAGUGCUUUCUACACCCCCAAUCUCUGCUUCUCCACCCUCAGAUUGCUCCAGUGUGUACCAGUCAUGGCUACACACCUCACCAGCACCCUCUUCAUCUCCCCAUUGUCCUGCCAGUUCAUGACACUGAGAUACUUUUAUUAUCUUCUGUACUGUAUAUUUUCAGGCUUCCUAAUAAAUUUAAACCACAUUCAGGCCCAUACCUUCUUUCAGUCCAACGUUACUUGUUUGCCAGUACUUUGAACUGUUAUUGUUUGCAAGGUAUAUAAAAAGUUGUGUUUUUGUUAUGAAUGCACUUGAAAGAAGGUAUUCAAGAUGUAAGCUUUAAAGAAAAGAAAUGAAACACACAGGAAAAAAUGGGGGAAUUAAUGUUAAUUUUCCCCAUCUUUAUGUUAACAUUUCUAGAUUCUUAAGACCAGAAGGGCAUGCUCAACUGGAAGCAAGGAGAGGUUGUUGCUUACAGAUGUUUGGUUGGUGAUACAUGCAGUUUCCCCUUGAAGUGUCUGCAAGAGUGAAAAGGAAACAUUUGUGAGGUGCUCUAUACAUUUUCUGUGAAUUGUAAAUGAUGAACAAUGUGUGCAUACAGAAUUCCUCUGCUGCACCAAUACAGCCUUAUGGUCCUCUAGGACCCUCCCAAUCAAAAGAAAAGUUCAUUACCAAAAAGAAAAGAAAACGCAGCAACUAUUUCUCAUAAAACUCACAACAGAAACUCGAGUGAGAAUUAAGAAGCCUAGUAAAACAUCCACCUUUGGAGUUUUAUCUCCUCAUCUGGUUUUAAAUUGCUUUCCGUUUCCACAGGUGUUUUCUAUAAGGUCUGCCUUUUUUGUUCUCACAGUAUGGAUGACAUGUUCAAAAAGCCUUGGACAGGCUUUUCCUCACCUGAUACUACAGAGACUUCUUAAGCAGAGCUGUGUGGGAGGUGUGCAGCUCCUGAAACAACAGCAUACACCCCCAGAGGCUCUGUCUGUCUGAUCGCUUUCAAACUACUGCACAAGGUCUAGCCUUUCAAAUGAAGGAAGGUCUGCCAUCAGAAACAACCCAAAGGGAACAAUGAAUGACGUACUUUGAAAGAUAAAAAUCAAUGCCAGGGCAUAGUUAUCUCUGAUUUGUUUUCCCAUGAUUUGUGCAUUAGUUUAGUAUUGAACUGAGGAAUGGAUUCACCUCAUAGGAAUGCUGGAACUGGCUUGCCACACUACCGUUGCUGGGAGUUAUAUAUAGAAUCAGGUUUAUCUUGUAACAAUGGGAUUUUCUCUAUUAUGAAACUUAUUUAAUUCUCGCAUAAAAAUAAGGAGGGAGGAAUAUAUGCGGAAAGUGUCAUUACAAAGUUUUAUCCAGGGUGAAGCAGGAGUUUCCUUUUGCUGUUCUGUUCUUGUUUAAGAGAGAGAGAGAGAGAGAGUUCUUGUCCAUUCAUGUGUCCUAUAAGCAUUUCAUAUACUAGUUUUUUGUUACCAAGCUUAGCAUACAGCUCAGCCAUCCCCCCACUUAUACACAGAUGCACAAGUUGAUUGUGUGCAUGUGCAGCACUGGGAAAUACAAAACAAUUCAGACCUGGAAAUGGCAGGAGAGAACAGGACAGUGCUUGUGGCUCAUGAGGAAACCCUCCCUGGAGCCCAAAUAUAUGUCAGUGAGGGCAGAGGAAGCUCCAGAGAGAACAAAGGCACAGCAUGGCCUUGUUUACUCUGCUCAGUAUCCCUACCUAACAGCUGAUGAGCAGCAGCCACCACUUUCCUGCACAUCCUCCAGCUUCCAGUUGUCCCCAGAGCAUCAAUUCCAGUUGUGGAUAUUUUCGGAUACAGUAUUUUAAGUAUGGAUUGUACAGAGAGCAGCCGAGGGGGCAUUUCAAUGGUUUUUAGAGGGUGCUCCCCACUUUAGGCUACUUCACUUAUGAGUGUGGGGCAUUGGCAGGUCACAACUACAACCUUUAUUGCAACAGUGAUCUAUCUCCGGAUUUCAAUCACUUCAGUGGGAGUUGCUAGUGGUCAUUCUUCAGGCUUCAGUCAUUUCCCCAGGUAUCUAGGCAGUAAAUUUCCAAGGGGACAUCUUUAGUAAAUGUAUUUAAAUGCAUGCACAGGGACCAUAAGGCACCAUGUCACACAGGACCCAUCAUAUUCCCCUCUGCAACUGCUGCUGAGGUUUCUUGAUUUAUAUUCCAGAUUUCAUCCUGUGAUUACAAAAUGAUUUCUAUUUAAAAUGAGUCAAACCAAAAGGCAAACAAUAGUCAUUUAAAACCACAAAGGGUAUUCAAUGAACUGUCAAUAUCCUAUUGUAGGGCAAUUUUCUAGUGCUGUAUAUCUUUAACCCAAAGAACAUCAGAGGAAGGAAGUCUAUUACAGAGUAAGUGAGUGCCACAUACAGUCAAUGGAGCAGUAGCUUCAGCAAUCCAUAAAAACAGUUUGGGAAGGCCUUAGGGAAUGACCUUUUUUAUACGAAGAGAGGUAUGACAUGGUGGAGGAUAUGUUUCUUGAAAUGUCCAGGAGCUGUGAAAGUUGAUGCAGCCAUAUUCCUCCCCCCAUCCCACUCUUUCUCUGGAACACAUAUCAAUCCCUCUCCUCCUGUCUGCUGGUAUGACUCUUUUGUUCCAAUUGAAUGACAGCACACCCAUCACUGUCCCAAUUUGAGCAGAACAUCCCGGAACUAUAGAAGCCACCCCAGUUUCUGAUUGCAUCCCAGGAUGCCCUGUUUUAGUUCCUGCGGGUGUGCGGCACCAAAAGUUGCCUGUUUUGGAGGGCCAUGCUCUCAUGUGAAUUACCUGGCGCCUGCAAGAACAUAGCUCCCAAAGAUGUGCAUUCCAGUUUUCCUCUGUGAGAUGUUGGAGGGUAUGUGACAGCUGGAAUCUUUCCUCUGUAUCAUUCAGGGAAUGACAAAUGGAAACUCUUCCCAUAUCCUUCUGCCCACACACUGAGAAGAAAUGAGGGCAGAUGAAUUCUCAAAGGUACACAAAGCAAAGUUUAUGUAGUCAACUAUUUAAGGGGCCCUCCAAAUGCAACUCUAUAGGGUCAUCUGCAGAUGGCCCAAAGUGGGGGCUUAUCUCUUCCCUUCUCCACUGCAAUCAGAACAGCAAUCCAUCCUCCACAAGGCUAGGAACCUUGUGGGGAAAAGGCCCCACUGGCAGUACAAAGGUUCCUAGCAGCACCUGUGAUUCAUGAAGGAAAAAUCAGAUAUGUCAGCUCAAACUGUUACUGCUUAUGGCCAAAACCCUUUGCAAAACUUCAAACUGGCUCAAAGGUAUGCAGCAAAUCGAAUUUGCACAUGCAAAUACUAAAAAUGCUACAUGUAUAAACCACAUCACAUAAAAGCCAGAAUCAUGUUGUUUUUAUAAAAAAUCCAACUACAAUAAAACAAUUGAUAAGGGAG